AAAGCUUUAAGUUAAAUAAACUAUUAACCUUCAAAGUUAAAAAAACAUUGUAUGUAAGCUUUA
rnacentral:tRNA from 2 species